CCUACGGGGGGCUGCAGUGGGGAAUAUUGGACAAUGGGCGCAAGCCUGAUCCAGCCACGCCGCGUGAGUGAUGAAGGCCUUCGGGUCGUAAAGCUCUGUGUGGAGGGACGAACCGCUGUCGGUUAAUACCCGGCAGCAUGACGGUACCUCCUUAGCAAGCACCGGCUAACUUCGUGCCAGCAGCCGCGGUAAUACGAAGGGUGCAAACGUUGCUGUAAAUUAUUCGGCGUCGAGCUCACGUAGGCGACGUGAAAGCCCUCGGCUUAACCAAGGAAGUGCAUCCAAAACUGCUGAGCUGGAGUAGUUAAGAGGAUCGCGGAAUUCCCGGUGUAGAGGUGAAAUUCGUAGAUAUCGGGAGGAACACCAGUGGCGAAGGCGGCGAUCUGGGAACAUACUGACGCUGAGGUGCGAAAGCGUGGGGAGCAAACAGGAUUAGAUACCCGAGUAGUC
rnacentral:rRNA from 1 species